rnacentral:rRNA from 1 species
CGGUUAGGGUGGACCUGGCGGAAGGAUCAUUA